GGGCGCUGGGGCGGCCCCUCCGCAGCGCCGGGAGGGGUGAGCGGCGGCCCGCGGCGGGAGACGAGCCGCUGCUUCCAGACGAUCCGUCUGGAUCCAGCCCCGGCAGGUACCUGGACGUUGCAGGUGCUUACAGCUGUCAGGAGCUGGCUCCAAAACACAUUUCCACUAGGUACUGGCAUGGGGCUUUUAUCUGGAAUUUGCUGUAUAGAAAGCUGCCUCAGCUUUUUGAUAAGCAGACAUGGCUGUCACGCUGCAUACUGAUGUAGGAGAUAUUAAAAUUGAACUAUUCUGUGAGCGUACUCCAAAGACCUGUGAAAAUUUCCUGGCUCUUUGUGCUAGUAACUACUACAAUGGAUGCGUAUUUCACCGAAAUAUAAAGGGCUUCAUGGUUCAGACAGGGGAUCCAUUAGGCACUGGGAAAGGAGGUAACAGCAUCUGGGGCAAGAAGUUUGAAGAUGAAUUCAGUGAAUACCUAAAGCACAGUGUCCGUGGGGUAGUUUCAAUGGCAAACAAUGGUCCGAACACCAAUGGAUCCCAGUUCUUCAUCACUUACGGCAAACAGCCGCACCUGGACAUGAAGUACACGGUGUUUGGAAAAGUUAUUGAUGGCUUGGAGACCCUGGAUGAGCUGGAGAAGCUGCCUGUGAAUGAGAAAACCUACCGACCUCUUAAUGAUGUUCGUAUUAAAGAUAUUACAAUCCAUGCCAACCCUUUUGCUCUGUAGCCACAGAGGCCUCAACACAUUCUUUAGAGACUGGUCAGACCAACUCCCAGAUCAUGGGAUUUAAGGAGCCAUUAAAAAGGGUUACUUGAGCUGGAUCAAGUGAGAGCAAUGUCAUAAAUCGAUGAAACCUUUCUCUCGCAGAGGAUUUAAGAACAUACUUGUACUGCUGUGUUGAAAUAGCAACCUCUUCAACCUCCCAAAAAGGUAGAUGGAAAAUAAUUUCUUCUGCUUCUGGCACAGUGCUAUAGCUGGGGAAUUGCAGGUGAACUAAUUGGCCUGACCGGGAUAAAAGAAAAAGACCACUUUGGAGAAGCUGCUACAAUGCUGAGAAGGAAAAGGCCCACAGUUCAGAAGUGCACAGGAGAAAAAGUGCUGCAAACUUGAUCUUUCUGAAACUCCUGACAGAUGAGAUUGUUGCUGUUUUGGGUGAAGGUACUUCCGGAGUAGUGGAAUGCAUCAAUCGCAAAGCUCACUGUGCCCAGAUGUUGGAAUGGUUUGAGCACCACGGACACCAUAUGCAUUGUUUCUGAGCUCAUGGGACAGCACCUUUGACUUGCAUUGAAGAGAAUGCUCUCUGCCAUUUAAGCUGGAUCACAUUAGACAGAUGGCAUAUCAGACCUUCAGAUCUGUGAACUGUAAGGAUGCUUCCUUUUUGCUUUAUUUGUUAUGUGAAUAAAAACGUCUCUUGAUUUCCUUUCAGAGGU